UCGUCGGGUAACUCUUCUUCUUUCAGAAUUUGUUAAAUAUAAAAAUAUAUAAACAUCGUUCUCUAACAGCUUAAAUUUUUACAGUGCAACAGUUAUUUCUAAUUUUCUCCCAUUUAAUUUAAGUCCACGUUAUGGGUCUUGCAAAUUAAAAGUCUCGAGUUCAGACGUGAGUAAAAGUGUUAAAUAUAAAAAUAUUGAAUCACAAAAUUGUAUAUUUAAUUACUUUUCUAAAGUUUAGAUUAUUGCGUAUAAUAUCAGUUUAUUUGCGCAUAUUUUUAUUUUA
rnacentral:lncRNA from 1 species